CAAGUCGAACGAUUAAAGCUCUCUUCGGAGAGUGUAUAGAGUGGCGCACGGGUGAGUAACACGUAAGUAAUCUACCUUUGAGUGGGGAAUAACAGUCGGAAACGACUGCUAAUACCGCAUAAUGCAGCGGCAUCGCAAGAUGACAGUUGUUAAAGAUUUAUCGCUUAAAGAGGAGCUUGCGGCAGAUUAGCUAGUUGGUAAGGUAAUGGCUUACCAAGGCUACGAUCUGUAACCGGUCUAAGAGGACGGUCGGUCACACUGACACUGAACAACGGGUCAGACUCCUACGGGAGGCAGCAGUCGGGAAUUUUGGGCAAUGGGCGAAAGCCUGACCCAGCAACGCCGCGUGAAGGAUGAAGUAUUUCGGUAUGUAAACUUCGAAAGAAUGGGAAGAAUAAAUGACGGUACCAUUUAUAAGGUCCGGCUAACUACGUGCCAGCAGCCGCGGUAAUACGUAGGGACCAAGCGUUGUUCGGAUUUACUGGGCGUAAAGGGCGCGUAGGCGGCUUGACAAGUCACUUGUGAAAUCUCCGGGCUUAACUCGGAACGGCCAAGUGAAACUGUCAUGCUAGAGUGCAGAAGGGGCAAUCGGAAUUCUUGGUGUAGCGGUGAAAUGCGUAGAUAUCAAGAGGAACACCUGAGGUGAAGACGGGUUGCUGGGCUGACACUGACGCUGAGGCGCGAAAGCCAGGGGAGCAAACGGGAUUAGAUACCCCGGUAGUCCUGGCCCUAAACGAUGAAUACUUGGUGUCUGGAGUUAUUAGUGCUCCGGGUGCCGUCGCUAACGUUUUUAGUAUUCCGCCUGGGGAGUACGCUCGCAAGAGUGAAACUCAAAGGAAUUGACGGGGACCCGCACAAGCGGUGGAGCAUGUGGUUU
rnacentral:rRNA from 1 species